AGAAAGUCACUUUGCCAUAUUCAAAGAGAAGCACCGACGGAGGCGGAGUGCAGCGGCUGGUAUGUGGGAGGCAAAUUUUCGAUAAUGAAGAAUUAAAAGAGAGAUAAAUAUAUAAAAAUAUAUUGAGGAAGGAGAUGUGAAUUUUAUAUUGCCAUUGCAUCCAUCAAUGCAAUGAAAUCAAAUAAAUAUAUUGAGUUAGAGAGUAUUACACAAAAAUAUUCGUUAAAGAUCCACUUCCACGGAUG
rnacentral:lncRNA from 1 species